AUACCUACAGUAUCUAGCAGUUCUCAUCUUCGCACGAGAGGCAAUAUGUGCCAGUGGCGAGCUUGUGCCUAUGGCAUCUUACACUCUCGAUGGCAUUCCAAGGGUUUGAUUAAUUAUCCUUCAUGAGUGGCAUUGUGUGCUUGCGGUGAUCUUGUGCCUAUGGCAUCUAACACUUCUCGUUUUCGUGCGGGAGAUAAUGUGUGCCAGCGGUGAGCUUGUGCCUAUGGCCUCUUGUACUCUCGAUGAUAUUUCGAGGGUCUGAUUAGUUAUCUCUCAUGAGUGACGUUGUGUGCCUAUGGUGUUCUUGUGCCUACGGUAUUUAGCACUUUUUAUCUUCGUACGAGAGACAGUGUAUGCCAACGACGAGCUUGUGCCUAUGGCCUCUUGCACUCUCGAUGAUAUUUCAAGAGUCUGAUUAGUUAUCUCUCAUGAGUGGUGCUGUGUGCCUGCGACGAUCUUGUGCCUAUGGCAUCUAGUAUUUUUUAUUUUUGCGUGAGAGGCAGUAUGUGCCAGUGGUGAGCUUGUGCCUACGGCAUCUUGCACUCUUAACGGCAUCCAAAGGUCUGAUUUGUUAUCUCUC
rnacentral:lncRNA from 1 species